GCCUACAGCCAUGCCACCCUGAACAAGCCUGACCCUGUCUGAUCUCGGAAGCUAAGCAGGAUUGGGCCUGGUUAGUACUUGGAUGGGAGACCACCUAGGAAGACCGAGUGCUGUAGGCA
rfam:Pteropus alecto contig10724, whole genome shotgun sequence.